ACGGGAGGCAGCAGUGAGGAAUAUUGGACAAUGGAUGGAAAUCUGAUCCAGCCAUGCCGCGUGAGGGAAGGCGGCCCUAAGGGUUGUAAACCUCUUUUCUACGGGGGCAAUAAGACGUACGGGUACGUUGAUGAGAGUACCGUAGGAAUAAGCAUCGGCUAACUCCGUGCCAGCAGCCGCGGUAAUACGGAGGAUGCGAGCGUUAUCCGGAUUUAUUGGGUUUAAAGGGUGCGUAGGCGGUUAGACAAGUCAGCGGUGAAAGUCUUGUGCCAAACAUAAGGAGUGCCGUUGAAACUGUAGAGCUAGAAUGGGGAUGCCGUGGGCGGAAUGUGUGGUGUAGCGGUGAAAUGCAUAGAGAUCACACAGAACACCGAUUGCGAAGGCAGCUCACGAAACCUUAAUUGACGCUGAGGCACGAAAGUGCGGGGAUCGAACAGGAUUAGAUACCCUGGUA
rnacentral:rRNA from 1 species